rnacentral:rRNA from 1 species
UACGUAGGGUGCGAGCGUUAUCGGAAUUACUGGGCGUAAAGCGUGCGCAGGCGGUUUUUUUAGCCAGAUGUGAAAACCCCGGGCUUAAACUGGGGACUGCAUUUGGAACUGGAAGACUAGAGUACGGCAGAGGGGGGUAGAAUUCCACGUGUAGCAGUGAAAUGCGUAGAUAUGUGGAGGAAUACCGAUGGCGAAGGCAGCCCCCUGGGUCGACACUGACGCUCAUGCACGAAAGCGUGGGGAGCAAACAGG